rnacentral:rRNA from 1 species
AAAGAAAGCGUAAUAGCUCACUGGUCGAGUCGGCCUGCGCGGAAGAUGUAACGGGGCUAAACCAUGCACCGAAGCUGCGGCAGCGACGCUUAUGCGUUGUUGGGUAGGGGAGCGUUCUGUAAGCCUGCGAAGGUGUGCUGUGAGGCAUGCUGGAGGUAUCAGAAGUGCGAAUGCUGACAUAAGUAACGAUAAAGCGGGUGAAAAGCCCGCUCCCCGA